AUUCAGAGUGAAUCAAUGAAUGAUUGAGAUUUAUAUAUUGCUAUAUUCACUAACAUGGCUAGAGUAUAUUAUGUUUUUGAAAAGUCUUUUAUCAUAUGAAAUGUGUUGUACACAUUAGUAUGAAAGUGUUUUUUGAAAUUUAAGAAGUUUAGUCCAAGUUGGUUAUCGCAAACAUAAGUCAUUUUCUAAAUAUGUUUCGUAUCCCUCAAAAUACUGACAGUAAAAUAAAAGACCUUAAAAAACAGAUGGGCAGUAAAAUUAUAUUAUUCAUAUUUCUGAAGACGAAGGUUUUCCAUGUUCUAUUAUUAGAACUAUAUAUUAUUAUAUUUAAAUAUCUCCGAAACUAGUCUACUUUUAUUUUAUUCAAGAUAAACAAAAUAUGUUAUUAGUGACUUCAAUUGAUUUCUUCUUGACAAAAUUCUUAGUAUCAGGUGUCUUUUGCUAACAUCUCAUAAAUCAUAUUCAGGAAACGCUUAAUUGUGAGAUUUUCACCACAUAGUUUUACAAGAACGCAACUCGUUUUGCUAUACAAAAGCUUUUUUAGGCAUGUCUAUACUAGACACGCCUAGACAGUUUUACAGAAAGCAACACAUUUCGCUGUACAAUAGCUUUUUCAGGCGUGUAUAUACUAGACAAACCUGAGAACAAGUUGAUUGACCUCAUUGACUUCUUUUCUGGCAGUAUUACCAUUUAGAUUAGCAACAUUUAAAAAAGGAGGUUUAUUGGAUGCAUAAUUAUAACUAUAUACUCAAUCAAUAAAAGUUCACAAGAUUGGUAUAAAUAGAACUGUUUAUCUAUGUCAUAAUUCACAACUUAUAUCCCUUUACAAUUUCGCUUACUAAAUUAAAUAUGGACAUUUUCAUUUGGUGGAAAACAUCCAAUUGUCAGACUUUUUAUGUCCUUCAUCAAUUCAUAUAAUGGAAUAAAAGUACAUGUACAUAAAAACAUUGGUACAAUAAACUAACCUCAAAAUUAAAGGAGAUGACUGAUUUUUGCUCAAUUUUUUGUCAUAAAAUGAGUAUGGAAAAAAUCAAUUAAUUUUGACACAUUGGGUUUUUUAACUCCAAAUGUUCGCAGGAGAAAAACUGAAGUGGAGUUAACUAAGCAUUCAAGCCCCUGAAAUCAGAAACAUCAAGCACCAUGGUAUAGUUCUAGACCAAGAUAGUAAGGUUGAAAUUUAAUCCAUUGAGGAAACCCAUGACAGCAUAAUUAAUAAAUCUGCUCAGUCAAAUGUCAUUUCAGAGUACUUUCAUAUAUCGGCGACUAAACAGAGCAAACUAGUGCCAGAAAAAUAUAAUCUUCAGUACUAACCGAGAGAACCUGGCUGGGACAUAACUUACUCUUUCUUCAUAAAAUUUUGGAUUGCUGCGCCAGAAGAAGAAUUUGACAAAAAGAAAAGAAGAUAUGGUUUAGUGUUGCCCAGUGAAAUCAUGUUGGUAAAAAUAUUGAAAGUUUCAUCAAGAAAUCUUCUUAUGAAAUGCUCCAUAACCUGUUAGAUCACCAUUUUGCUUUAUCAUUUGCACAGAUCCUGAUACAAUAGAAGAUAGGCUUUCUUUGGUAGUUUUUUUGUUUGCCACUGGAGAAAUUGAUUAAUUUUUAUAAAGUUAUGUUUGAAAAUGUAAUGGAGGAUAAUUAUUAACUGUGAUAGAGUA